UACGUAGGGUGCUAGCGUUGUCCGGAUUUAUUGGGCGUAAAGGGCUCGUAGGCGGCGUGUCGCGUCGGGAGUGAAAGCCCGCUGCUUAACGGCGGGUUGGCUUCCGGUACGGGCAUCGCUGGAGUGCGGCAGGGGAGACUGGAAUUCCUGGUGUAGCGGUGGAAUUCGUAGAUAUUAGGAAGAACACCAGUGGCGAAGGCGGCUUACUGGUCCGGAACUGACGCUGAGGUGCGAAAGCGUGGGGAGCAAACAGG
rnacentral:rRNA from 1 species